rnacentral:rRNA from 1 species
CAGCCGCCGCGGGAAUACGUAGGGUGCGAGCGUUAAUCGGAAUUACUGGGCGUAAAGCGUGCGCAGGCGGUUGUGUAAGACAGGUGUGAAAUCCCCGGGCUUAACCUGGGAACUGCGCUUGUGACUGCACAGCUAGAGUAUGGCAGAGGGGGGUGGAAUUCCACGUGUAGCAGUGAAAUGCGUAGAGAUGUGGGGGAACACCGAUGGCGAAGGCAGCCCCCUGGGCCAAUACUGACGCUCAUGCACGAAAGCGUGUGGAGCAAACAGGAUUAGAUACCCCUGUAGUCCCUGUCUCUUAUAC